GGUGUCCAGCUGCACAAGGGACAGGCGGGCAGAUCCGUGGGGCCUGGGCCGUGGCCAUGGGGGCUUGGCCAUUCCUGCUUCCGGUCCUUCCUCCCCACCUUCCUCCCCAGAUGGUGGGGCUGGGACCUGGGCGGAGGCCACCUUGGCUCCUGCUGCUCUGGCCGAGGAGCCGAGAGCAUCUGCGCCGCCCCUUUCCUGGUGGCACUCACGGUGGGCGCUGGGCCUCCCCGGGAGUGUGGGGCAGCUGGUCUCCCUGGUUCUGAGGGCAGCCGGCACAGCCAGGCCAGGGCUGGGGACAGCGGCUAAGUGCAGACGUCUGUUUUCCUGAGCUGAACAAGGAGGACCCGGCCAUGUGGGAGGGCUUCCUCCAGCUGCUUGGGUAGGAAAGCUGAGGCCCAUUAGGUGGCUCCCACGGCCGGGUCCUCGCUGCCCGAAUCAGGGCUUUCCUAGAAAGCAGUGAUUUAACUGGACUAGUAUUUGGGGGGCACCUGGGCCAUCCUUGCCCUUGUGGGAACAGAACAGGCAUAAACCUGGCCUUCCAGAGCCCACAUGGGGAGACGGAUGUCUGCAACUCAGUACUGUGAGCUCCGGUGACAAGUGUGUUCGGGGUCACAGAGCUUCACAACCCAGAGACUUCCACGUGGACAAUGGGGGGAAGGGUGUCCAGAAAGAUCCCUGAAGAAGUAAUGUUUAAGGUGAUAAAGAAGCUAUGUGGGAGGUAGAACUGAAGGGGGGCAGUGGGGUUGGAUGGGAAGCCCAUUCCAGGCAGGGGGAGCAGCAGGUGCAAAGGGCCUGUGGCUGACGGGAAUGCUGGGUGCUUGAGGGGCAGCAGGGUGAUCCUGGUGACUGGAAUGUGAUGAGUGGGGGAAGAAGGUUGGGGAUGGUCAGUGGGAGUCAGUCCCCACAGUGUCCAGCAGCCUGUGAGAGUGUGGUAGACUGUUUUCUGCUGGCAGUGGGGAGCCACAGAUGGUUUAGUAUACGCACAGACAUCCUGGUGGUGUUGAAGGCAAUGAGGAUAGGUGAUCGUGGUAGGAAGCAUUCAGCAGGUGCUCACUGUGUGUCGAGCACCAUUCCAGCCAUUUCACAGGCCAAGGGAAAGGGCUGGGGGGGCAGUGACUUCCAAAGUCCCUGGUGAACAGCCGCGGUGGGGCUCUCGCCCUGCAUGUCCUGCACACAAAGUUGCCCUGGUCUGGCUGUGGAAGCCCCGAGGCACCAGAUGACACCCCCUCCUGCCCCCCGGGGUCCCGCCUCCUCCACACUGUGUCCCAGCCCUGGGUGGGGACUCCAGGUCAGGGGCGGACAGGCCCAGCCGAGGUCCUGGGGAAGCUGGACAGCCAGGCUGCUCCCUGGGCACAGGUCCCGCUGGCUUGCCUGGACGUGAGGAGUGUCCCCGGGGCAGGCAGCACCUGCCCGCUGCCUCCUCCCAUAGUCACAGGUCCAGGGACGGCAGGACUCCCAAGUCACCGGUGGCAUUUGAGACAUCUGCGCCUUCACUUAUUUUUAAGGAAAUGCAAAUCAAAGCAGCUGAUGUGCUGGGUGCUGGGUGCUGGGUGCUGGGUGCUGGGUGCUGGGUCGGGGGCAUAGCUCGCCUCCCAGGGGGAGGCCGUGGGCCCCAUCCUCAGCACCAGAGAGGCCAGAAACAGAGCCAAAAGCCCUGCAGGGAGCUCCACCUCGACCUGUUAGGACCCCAGGGGGACAGAGGGGGUGACAGGCUGCCCCACGCACUGGGCUGGGAGCGUAAAAUGGCGGGACCUUAAAACAUCAAGAAUAGGAUCGCCAUGUGAUGCGGCGCUUGUCCUUGUGGAAGCCUCGGAGAGAGAUGGCGCACUCGCUGGGCAGCUGCGUCAUUCCUGAUGGCCAGGACGUGAGGCGCCGCGGUGACCCUGAACACACGGACACACAGAAUCAGUGCGCGCCACAGAGUGUGUUCAUUCACCAAAGGAGGGGACUGACACCCGCUCUAGCGCGCAUGGGGACAUUGUGCUAAGUGAAAGGAGCCCGUCACAAACGACCAGUGUGGCAGGGUCCUCCUCUGCCAGGGACUAGAGUGGCAAAGUCAGAGAGAAGGCAGAGAGGUGGCCGCCAGGAGCUGGAGGGAGAUGGCAGGGCUAGUGCUCAGGGGACAGAGCGUCAGCUUUGCAGGGCAAACAGUUCCACGGAUGGGCGGGCGGCGAGGUGGAGGCACCGCGACGAGACUGUACUUACUGCUGCUGUUACACUCGCGGCGGUGGGCACUGAGCUCCACCGCGAUCCCAGGGACUCAGGAGGCUGGGGCAGGAGGAUCGCAAGAUUGAGGCCAGUCUUGGCAGCUUAGUGAGACCCUGCUGCAAAAUAAAUUUUAAAAGAUUCACGAUGUAGUUCAGAGGUAGAGUGAUCCGGGACCGAAAAAAGGAAAGAAAAAGUUAAGACGAUAGGUUCUAUGUUAGGUGCAUUUUUCUACAAUUAAAAAAAAGAAUCCUUCAGUUCUCUCAAGUCCUGACAGCGGGCCUUCUUUAAAGUGGCAUUUGUGGGGGAUGGAAUGCUAGGUGGCAGGUGACAUUAGAGCAAUUAGGGGUGACAGAUUCUGGUAUUCCUGGGCAAGGGACCUUGCCAUUUUGAGCCUCAGUUUCCCCUGGUGACAUGAGGACAAUGAGGUGUCCUCCUCCUGGGGCCAGCAGGACAGGUCUGUGCUUCCUGCUCGGUGCUCCCCCAGCAGCUGGCCCAGGCAGCACGUGCCACCUAGAGCCCCGAGCCCUGGCCACCCAGAGCCCCGAGUCCUGGUGACCUAGAGCCCUGAGUCCUGGUGACCUAGAGCCCUGAGUCCUGGCCACCCAGAGCCCUGAGUCCUGGCGGGUGUUGUGGGUCCUUUGGGAUUUGGGAACGUGAGGCCCUAGGUAAAGGGGAGGAGAGCCCUCGCUUCACCAGCACAGGGAAUAGAGGCCAGGGGAGUCUAGAGACCUGCCCAGGACCUCAGCGUUCCCUGAACUGAACCAGGAGUCUCCUACAGCCAGGCUGCUCCCUGGGCACAGGUCCCGCUGGCUUGCCUGGACGUGAGGAGUGUCCCCGGGGCAGGCAGCACCUGCCCGCUGCCUCCUCCCAUAGUCACAGGUCCAGGGACGGCAGGACUCCCAAGUCACCGGUGGCAUUUGAG
rnacentral:lncRNA from 1 species